rfam:Crassostrea gigas strain 05x7-T-G4-1.051#20 contig25153, whole genome shotgun sequence.
GGAAGCGUGCCCGUGCGGUCUCAGGUGCUGGUUUAAGGCACCGGUCUCAUCGGAGGCGUGGGUUCGAAUCCCACCGCUGCCA